AUUGAACGCUGGCGGCAGGCCUAACACAUGCAAGUCGAGCGGAUGAAGGGAGCUUGCUCCUGGAUUCAGCGGCGGACGGGUGAGUAAUGCCUAGGAAUCUGCCUGGUAGUGGGGGAUAACGUCCGGAAACGGGCGCUAAUACCGCAUACGUCCUGAGGGAGAAAGUGGGGGAUCUUCGGACCUCACGCUAUCAGAUGAGCCUAGGUCGGAUUAGCUAGUUGGUGGGGUAAAGGCCUACCAAGGCGACGAUCCGUAACUGGUCUGAGAGGAUGAUCAGUCACACUGGAACUGAGACACGGUCCAGACGCCUAAGGGAGGCAGCAGUGGGGAAUAUUGGACAAUGGGCGAAAGCCUGAUCCAGCCAUGGCGCGUGUGUGAAGAAGGUCUUCGGAUUGUAAAGCACUUUAAGUUGGGAGGAAGGGCAGUAAGUUAAUACCUUGCUGUUUUGACGUUACCAACAGAAUAAGCACCGGCUAACUUCGUG
rnacentral:rRNA from 1 species